AUGAGAAUCUAAUGCCUGAUAGUCUGAGGUAGAGCUGAGUUGACAAUGCUAACACUGAGGAGUGGCUGCAAAUACAUAUGAAGAUUUGCUUGCUCGCCCUCCACUCACUUCCUGAUGUGUGGCCCCGUUCCUAACAAGCCACGGACUGGUACCCAUCAUAGCCUGGGAGCUGGGGACCCCUGUGGUACAGGGCAGAAGCCAUGGACUUUAGGGGAUUACUAUGGGCUUGGACAAUGAUGCCAACAGCAAUCAAGAUGAACUAGAGAUUAGCUUCUCCCAAGAACCAGUACCAUGUACGAAAGCGCAUUCACAUGCACACACACACCCCCAAAAAACCCAGGCAACACCUCCUGCAUUCUAGUAUGUCCUUAAGAGAGGAAGAAAGCCCCUUUCAGUGACUGAGAUGGGAUUUCUGUUUAGAGUCACAAAUUACGUUAAUUGAAAUAUUUGAAUAGUUUGUACCUGAAACAACUAGCCUGGUGCCCACAUUUUUGUCUAGUGGCUAUAGCCUUCUCUCAAGCCUGCUAGCCCAUUCCUUAGCCCCAGUUUUACUUCCAGGCUUUGGAAUUAGACCUUAGGUUAAGUCUAGGUUCUAUUACUAGCUGAGUAACCCUGGAUGUUACUGUACUUUUCUGCAUCUGUUUCUUCAUCAGUAAAAUGAUACUCUUCCUCACAGGAGUUGUAGGAGACUGAAAUGGAAUAAUAGGAUGGUUUUCAAACUAUGUCCUGGAGAACUUCAAAUCAAUCUAGUGUUUUCCAAACUUCAUUCGCAUCCCAUCUUCCCAACCUUCGGGCAUAUUGCGCACCCACUUCUAUUAUUAUAUACUUAAUCGUGUCUUUUAAAAAUAUCAACUCACUUUUCAAUGGAAAUGAUUUAUUGAAAAAGGAAAUACCUUAAAAAACAGAAAUAUCUAUCGCUUACCUUAGAAUAGCAACAAAAUCAAAACAAUGCUAUUCAACUUGAACUGCCUAUGGUUACAGGCCAAAGCUCUGAGCUCAAAGACUGGAUUUUGUUUUGUUUUGAACUUUUUUCUUUGUUUUUUUGAGACUGGGCUUUGUUUAAAAAAAUGAUCUCGUUCACAAAAACCCACACAUGGCCUUAUAUGAAAUGUCUAGAAUAGGCAAAUCUAGAGAGACAAAAAGUAGAUUAGUGAUAGUUCAGAGCUGGAGGUGGGAGGUUUGGAUGGGGAGUGACUAUUAAGUAUGGUUUCUUUUGAGGGUGAUGCAAAUGUUCUAAAAUUGACGGUGGUGACAGUUACACAACUCUGUGAAUACACUAAGAGCCACUGAAUCAUACAAUUUAAAUGGGUGAACUGUAUAGUGAGUUAUAUCUCAAUAAAGCUGUUCCUAAAAAGAACGAUGUUAAAUAUGAUUCUUGCUACUUGAGGUAAAUGAAGGAAUGCAAAGACAUCUAAACCAGGACCACUAUUAUUUAACUGAGCUAGGUUUGUGACACGUCCCACCCCAAUCAUCUCCCAGUGGUAAGCUUUUGCCCUUUUGAGAAAGGAUUUAGUGGUAAGCACUCAAUGUUAGCUAAUAUUCCCCAAAACAGAUCUGCCUGACAAGUCAGACAAACCUGGGUUUACAGUCCUCCCUACUCAGCCACUGACCAGCACUGACUGGAGAAAAUCGCCCUGAGUCCACUUUCUUACCUGUAAAAUGUGGAUAAUAGCAUCUGCUUCAGGAGUUUGCAAUAAGGGUGAGAAGAGAUAAACAGGUACCGCUCAUGACACAUAGUUCUCUCUCAAUGGUGGCUCUUAUCAGAAAUGUCCUUAGACUACUGGAGCACCCGCGCUACAACUCAAAGGAUGUGGUUGUGAAUUAGGCCUCUGCCUGGACUAGAUAAGCUAGCAGGAAAGCAUGCCUUAGCUAUUCUGGGUCCCAGUUCCCUUGACUGUAAAAUGGAGAUACUGAGGAUUCCAAGGUGCCAGUAAUUUGAAGAAACCGACUGUCUUCAGUCAGCCCUGUGAUACUGACGCCCAGAGGGGCUCAGAGGCUGCCCACCAUCCAGACUGCUAGUCCGGAACUGGGGUGUGGGGGGCGGGGACUACGUCGGCAGGAGCCUCGCCGACAUGCGCCUCACAGCCGCCGCGGCGCAGGCAGGGCCGUAGCCAGGCAGCUUCCGGCGCGCCGUCCCGCUGGGCUAACCGAGCGCUCCGGCCGGCGCGCAGGUCACGCCAAAGAAUGCAGCUCGGGAGCCUGCACUCCUUUGGCGAGAGGGCGUCCGGCGCCGGAAGUCCGCCCGCACCCUCUCUAGGACGCCCGCCCCCGGCCCUCGGUGCCCUUAACCCUUACCGCACCGCGGCGCGCCCUCCUCGCGCUGGGCGGUUUCCAGCGCGCUGCCCUCCUUUGUUUCCCGUAGCUUCACACAGGCUGUGAGCGGCCUGACCCUUCUCUACACCACAGCUGCCUCCCAGAGCUGAUUGGAGGUACAAUGGAGGGGACCAGCAGAAAAGCCACUGUCAACUGAAAAUCAAUAGACAAAUGUAAAAGAGUGAAAAAGCAAUCCUAGUCAAAUCCAAGUCUAUGGAAUACAACCCAGCAACAGAAAGUCACGAACUGCUGACCCAAGAAACAGUAUGGACAACUCUCAAAAACACUAUGCUAAGUGAAAGAAAACAGAUGCAAAAGAGUACAUACUGUAUAAUUCCACGCAUACGAAGUUCUACUGCAGGUUAACCUAAUCGAAACCCAAAUCAGAAUAAUGGUUGCCUCUGGGAAGCGGGGUUGGGAAGGGGCAACAGGAAACUUUCAGGGAGGGUAGCGAUGUAUUUGAUAAGGGCUUAUGCACAUGUAUGCAGUUGUUGAAACUCACCCACUCAUAGUAGACACCUCUGCAUUUCACUGUAUGGAUAUUUUGCCUCAAGAGAAAAUAAAAACAAACAUAAAUAAAUAA